CUACGGGAGGCACCAGUGAGGAAUAUUGCGCAAUGGGGGAAACCCUGACGCAGCGACGCCGCGUGGAUGAUGAAGGCCUUCGGGUCGUAAAAUCCUGUCAGAAGGAAAGAAGUGUAUGGUAGCUAAUAUCUGCCAUACUUGACGGUACCUUCAAAGGAAGCACCGGCUAACUCCGUGCCAGCAGCCGCGGUAAUACGGAGGGUGCAAGCGUUGUUCGGAAUUACUGGGCGUAAAGCGCGCGUAGGCGGUUUUAUAAGUCAGAUGUGAAAGUCCACGGCUCAACCAUGGAAGUGCAUUUGAAACUGUAAGUCUUGAGUAUGGGAGGGGGUGGUGGAAUUCCCGGUGUAGAGGUGAAAUUCGUAGAUAUCGGGAGGAAUACCGGUGGCGAAGGCGACUAUCUGGCCAAAUACUGACGCUGAGGUGCGAAAGCGUGGGGAGCAAACAGGAUUAGAUACCCUUGUAGUC
rnacentral:rRNA from 1 species